rnacentral:rRNA from 1 species
GGGGGAUAUUGCGCAAUGGGGGAAACCCUGACGCAGCAACGCCGCGUGAAGGAUGAAGGUCUUCGGAUCGUAAACUUUUGUCUUCAGGGACGAUAAUGACGGUACCUGAGGAGGAAGCCACGGCUAACUACGUGCCAGCAGCCGCGGUAAUACGUAGGUGGCAAGCGUUGUCCGGAUUUACUGGGUGUAAAGGGCGUGUAGGCGGGAUGAUAGGUCAGAUGUGAAAUGCCCAGGCUCAACCUGGGAGCUGCAUUUGAAACCAUCGUUCUUGAGUGUCGGAGAGGGAAGUGGAAUUCCUAGUGUAGCGGUGAAAUGCGUAGAUAUUAGGAGGAACACCAGUGGCGAAGGCGACUUUCUGGACGAUAACUGACGCUGAGGCGCGAAAGCGUGGGGAGCAAAC